rnacentral:rRNA from 1 species
UGGGGAAUUUUGGACAAUGGGCGAAAGCCUGAUCCAGCAAUGCCGCGUGAGUGAAGAAGGCCUUCGGGUUGUAAAGCUCUUUUGUCAGGGAAGAAACGGUGGGAGCUAAUAUCUCUUGCUAAUGACGGUACCUGAAGAAUAAGCACCGGCUAACUACGUGCCAGCAGCCGCGGUAAUCCGUAGGGUGCAAGCGUUAAUCGGAAUUACUGGGCGUAAAGCGUGCGCAGGCGGUUUUGUAAGUCUGAUGUGAAAUCCCCGGGCUCAACCUGGGAAUUGCAUUGGAGACUGCAAGGCUAGAAUCUGGCAGAGGGGGGUAGAAUUCCACGUGUAGCAGUGAAAUGCGUAGAUAUGUGGAGGAACACCGAUGGCGAAGGCAGCCCCCUGGGUCAAGAUUGACGCUCAUGCACGAAAGCGUGGGGAGCAAAACAGGAUUAGACACCCUGGUAGUCCACGCCCUAAACGAUGUCUACUAGUUGUCGGGUCUUAAUUGACUUGGUAACGCAGCUAACGCGUGAAAGUAGACCGCCUGGGGGAGUACGGUCGCAAGAUUAAAAACUC